AUUGAACGCUGGCGGUAGGCCUAACACAUGCAAGUCGAGCGAGCGGCGGACGGGUGAGUAAUGUCUGGGAAACUGCCUGAUGGAGGGGGAUAACUACUGGAAACGGUAGCUAAUACCGCCUACCAUUAGAUGUGCCCAGAUUGGAUUAGCUAGUAGGUGGGGUAACGGCUCACCUAGGCGACGAUCCAUAGUUGGUCUGAGAGGAUGACCAGCCAUCCUGGAGCUGAGACAAGGUCCAGACUCCUACGGGAGGCAGCAGUGGGGAAUAUUGCCCAAUGGGAGCAAGCCUGUUGCAGCCAUGCCGCGUGUGUGAAGAAGGCCUUCGGGUUGUAAAGCAGUUUCAGCGGGGAGGCGUUACCCGCAGAAGAGGCACCGGCACACUCCGGGCCAGCAGCCGCGGUAAUUC
rnacentral:rRNA from 1 species